rnacentral:rRNA from 1 species
AUGUGCCCGUUAUGCGAGCAGGAGGCCGAGACUGCAGACCACGUGGCACUGGGUUGUGUGUUUGCCAGGGAGGUGUGGCACUCUGCCCUCUGGCGUUAUGGCCUCGGUCAGUUGGUGCCCGCCAUGGAUGCAACUCUCACGGAGUGGUGGGCAGCCAAUCGCGCGAUGAUCCCGAAGGAGAGGAGGAAGGGUUUUGAUUCUCUUUCCCUCCUCAUCAUCUGGAUGCUAUGGAUGGAGCGUAACGGUCGCGUCUUCCAGCGGUCAACGGUCGUUGCUCGAGAGCUUUGUCGUUGCAUCAGUAAUGAGGUUGAGCUAUGGAAGCUUUCUGGUGCGAGGGGGUUGUCGGACAUCUGGAGAUAG